rnacentral:lncRNA from 1 species
AACAUCUAAUAAACGAGAAAUAAAUGGUUUAAUUAUAUCCGCAACUUAUUCAAAACCACCAAUUCAAAGAAACUAACUUGUACCCACCUCCCCAACAAAAAUAGUCCUUAAUCAAUGAAGAUAGAACUUUGUUAAGAAACAUACAAGAACAUAAGGACAUAAAAGAAUUCAACGAGUCACAGAAUACUCAAGUUAAACAAUAAUGAUGAUUAU